GAGCCCAUCGCCGAAUCCGCGUGCCUGCUAGGCGCUGCGAAAUGUGGCGUUUGGGAGGGUUUUCCACGGUCUGGGCGUCCAGUCAAAGUCCAACUUGACAGUGGCCACUGCCCACAGAGGGUGAUAGGCCCGUAAGGCGGACGCCUGGCUGUGCUGACCUCUCCCCAGAGUCGGAUUGCUUGAGAGUGCAGUCCAAAGUGCGAGGUAAACUCCUCGUAAGGCUAAAUAUGACCCCGAGACCGAUAGCAAACAAGUACAGUGAUGGAAAAUUGAAAAGAACUUUGAAGAGAGAGUUAACAGUACGUGAAACUGUGUGGUGGUAAACAGAGGCGUUCUCGAAGUUGCCCCGGGUGACUCAAGCUUGGUGGUGGGUGGCUUGCCUGGUCUGAUCAGCAAUGACUGGCCAGGUGGUGCCGACUCGCCUCCCGGCCGCACUUUGCCCGGGGUUUACGGCAGGAGCCGUUGGGGACAGACCUGAGGCCUGGGAUGAAGUUGGCGGUCCUUGUGGCUUCCAGCUCCCGGUGUCCUGGCUCUGAUCCCGACGGUCCCCAGUUGUGCGGACUUGUAUAGCAAGCGACAGCCUGUUGCGGUCCGCCUUUCUCUGCCGAGUAGGUCGGUGGCGCCUCUGACCCGUCUUGAAACACGGACCAAGGAGUCUAACACGUGUGCGAGCCAUUGGGUUGACUAAACCUAGCGGCGCAGUGAAAGCAAAGAGUUGCUCUGUCUGCUCGAGGGACGAAGGUUUUGCCUGCAGUCCCGCGAUUUCCAAUCAACCUCGUUUGUUGGGAAUACGAAGAGCAUAAGUGUUGGGACCCGAA
rnacentral:rRNA from 1 species